UACAUUAUACGUGGCAAUGAGGUAUAGACGAAAAUAUUAAAAAGCAAUAUAUUAACAAUGAAACUUAUAAACACGGGAAAUAUUAUAAUAAUUAAAUAUUAUUAUUAUAAUUCUUGGUUACUGGUUAUAUUUGUCAGAAAAAUACAAGAAUACAAUAAUAUCCUAAUUUUAAAUUCCAUUAGAAUAUUUUCCAAGCAUAUGACUAAAUAUUUUUAUUUUCUCGUAAACUAUUGUUCCUAUUAUAAUUUGCCUGUAUUCUACUUUACAGUAAUUCAUCAUUCCUUUAAAUAAUUGUCUUAAUUUAUAUAACCCCACCCCUCAUAUACAAUGAUGGACACGAUGACUACAAUAUGUCUUGCUAACACCAUAAUAUGUAAACUCACAUUUUUAACUUU